GACGAACGCUGGCGGCGUGCUUAACACAUGCAAGUCGAACGGAAAGGCCCUGCUUUUGUGGGGUGCUCGAGUGGCGAACGGGUGAGUAGCACGUGAGUAACCUGCCCUUGACUUUGGGAUAACUUCAGGAAACUGGGGCUAAUACCGGAUAGGAGCUCCUGCUGCAUGGUGGGGGUUGGAAAGUUUCGGCGGUUGGGGAUGGACUCGCGGCUUAUCACCUUGUUGGUGGGGUAGUGGCUUACCAAGGCUUUGACGGGUAGCCGGCCUGAGAGGGUGACCGGCGACAAUGGGACUGCGAUACGGACCAGACUGGUACGGGAGGCAGCAGUGGGGAGUAUUGCACAAUGAGCGGAAGCGUGAGGCAACAACGCCGCGGGCGUAAAGAAGGCCUGCGCGGUGUAAACCGCUUUCGCCUGUGACGAAGCGUGAGUGACGGUAAUGGGUAAAGAAGCACCGGCUAACUACGUG
rnacentral:rRNA from 1 species